AUUGAACGCUGGCGGCAGGCCUAACACAUGCAAGUCGAAUGGUAACAGGAAACAGCUUGCUGUUUCGCUGACGAGUGGCGGACGGGUGAGUAAUGUCUGGGAAACUGCCUGAUGGAGGGGGAUAACUACUGGAAACGGUAGCUAAUACCGCAUAAGGUCGCAAGACCAAAGAGGGGGACCUUCGGGCCGCUUGCCAUCAGAUGGGCCCAGAUGGGAUUAGCUAGUAGGUGGGGUAACGGCUCACCUAGGCGACGAUCCCUAGCUGGUCUGAGAGGAUGACCAGCCACACUGGAACUGAGACACGGUCCAGACUCCUACGGGAGGCAGCAGUGGGGAAUAUUGCACAAUGGGCGCAAGCCUGAUGCAGCCAUGCCGCGUGUAUGAAGAAGGCCUUCGGGUUGUAAAGUACUUUCAGCGGGGAGGAAGGGAGUAAAGUUAAUACCUUUGCUCAUUGACGUUACCCGCAGAAGAAGCACCGGCUAACUCCGUG
rnacentral:rRNA from 1 species